GCCUGGGUGGCUCAGUCAGUUGAGCGUCUGACUUCGGCUCAGGUCAUGCUCUCAUGGUUUGUGGGUUCAAGCCUUGCGUCGGGCU
rfam:Felis catus isolate Cinnamon breed Abyssinian chromosome X, whole genome shotgun sequence.